CGGGACACGUGGUAUCCUGUCUGAAUAUGGGGGGACCAUCCUCCAAGGCUAAAUACUCCUGACUGACCGAUAGUGAACCAGUACCGUGAGGGAAAGGCGAAAAGAACCCCGGCGAGGGGAGUGAAAAAGAACCUGAAACCGUGUACGUACAAGCAGUGGGAGCACGCUUAGGCGUGUGACUGCGUACCUUUUGUAUAAUGGGUCAGCGACUUAUAUUCUGUAGCAAGGUUAACCGAAUAGGGGAGCCGAAGGGAAACCGAGUCUUAACUGGGCGUUAAGUUGCAGGGUAUAGACCCGAAACCCGGUGAUCUAGCCAUGGGCAGGUUGAAGGUUGGGUAACACUAACUGGAGGACCGAACCGACUAAUGUUGAAAAAUUAGCGGAUGACUUGUGGCUGGGGGUGAAAGGCCAAUCAAACCGGGAGAUAGCUGGUUCUCCCCGAAAGCUAUUUAGGUAGCGCCUCGUGAAUUCAUCUCCGGGGGUAGAGCACUGUUUCGGCAAGGGGGUCAUCCCGACUUACCAACCCGAUGCAAACUGCGAAUACCGGAGAAUGUUAUCACGGGAGACACACGGCGGGUGCUAACGUCCGUCGUGAAGAGGGAAACAACCCAGACCGCCAGCUAAGGUCCCAAAGUCAUGGUUAAGUGGGAAACGAUGUGGGAAGGCCCAGACAGCCAGGAUGUUGGCUUAGAAGCAGCCAUCAUUUAAAGAAAGCGUAAUAGCUCACUGGUCGAGUCGGCCUGCGCGGAAGAUGUAACGGGGCUAAACCAUGCACCGAAGCUGCGGCAGCGACGCUGAUGCGUUGUUGGGUAGGGGAGCGUUCUGUAAGCCUGUGAAGGUGUGCUGUGAGGCAUGCUGGAGGUAUCAGAAGUGCGAAUGCUGACAUAAGUAACGAUAAAGCGGGUGAAAAGCCCGCUCGCCGGAAGACCAAGGGUUCCUGUCCAACGUUAAUCGGGGCAGGGUGAGUCGACCCCUAAGGCGAGGCCGAAAGGCGUAGUCGAUGGGAAACAGGUUAAUAUUCCUGUACUUGGUGUUACUGCGAAGGGGGGACGGAGAAGGCUAUGUUGGCCGGGCGACGGUUGUCCCGGUUUAAGCGUGUAGGCUGGUUUUCCAGGCAAAUCCGGAAAAUCAAGGCUGAGGCGUGAUGACGAGGCACUACGGUGCUGAAGCAACAAAUGCCCUGCUUCCAGGAAAAGCCUCUAAGCAUCAGGUAACAUCAAAUCGUACCCUAAACCGACACAGGUGGUCAGGUAGAGAAUACCAAGGCGCUUGAGAGAACUCGGGUGAAGGAACUAGGCAAAAUGGUGCCGUAACUUCGGGAGAAGGCACGCUGAUAUGUAGGUGAAGCGACUUGCUCGUGGAGCUGAAAUCAGUCGAAGAUACCAGCUGGCUGCAACUGUUUAUUAAAAACACAGCACUGUGCAAACACGAAAGUGGACGUAUACGGUGUGACGCCUGCCCGGUGCCGGAAGGUUAAUUGAUGGGGUCAGCGCAAGCGAAGCUCUUGAUCGAAGCCCCGGUAAACGGCGGCCGUAACUAUAACGGUCCUAAGGUAGCGAAAUUCCUUGUCGGGUAAGUUCCGACCUGCACGAAUGGCGUAAUGAUGGCCAGGCUGUCUCCACCCGAGACUCAGUGAAAUUGAACUCGCUGUGAAGAUGCAGUGUACCCGCGGCAAGACGGAAAGACCCCGUGAACCUUUACUAUAGCUUGACACUGAACAUUGAGCCUUGAUGUGUAGGAUAGGUGGGAGGCUUUGAAGUGUGGACGCCAGUCUGCAUGGAGCCGGCCUUGAAAUACCACCCUUUAAUGUUUGAUGUUCUAACGUUGACCCGUGAUCCGGGUUGCGGACAGUGUCUGGUGGGUAGUUUGACUGGGGCGGUCUCCUCCUAAAGAGUAACGGAGGAGCACGAAGGUUGGCUAAUCCUGGUCGGACAUCAGGAGGUUAGUGCAAUGGCAUAAGCCAGCUUGACUGCGAGCGUGACGGCGCGAGCAGGUGCGAAAGCAGGUCAUAGUGAUCCGGUGGUUCUGAAUGGAAGGGCCAUCGCUCAACGGAUAAAAGGUACUCCGG
rnacentral:rRNA from 1 species